rnacentral:rRNA from 1 species
UACAGAGGGUGCAAGCGUUGUUCGGAAUUAUUGGGCGUAAAGCGCGUGUAGGCGGCGCAGCAAGUCGGGUGUGAAAGCCCUCGGCUUAACCGAGGAAGUGCAUUCGAAAACUACUGGGCUUGAAUACUGGAGAGGAUCGCGGAAUUCCCGGUGUAGAGGUGAAAUUCGUAGAUAUCGGGAGGAACACCAGUGGCGAAGGCGGCGAUCUGGACAGAUAUUGACGCUGAUGUGCGAAAGCGUGGGGAGCAAACAGG